rnacentral:rRNA from 1 species
GCCAGUAGCAUAUGCUUGUCUCAAAGAUUAAGCCAUGCAUGUCUAAGUACAAGCCGCUAGUUCGGCGAAACCGCGAAUGGCUCAAUAAAUCAGUUAUGGUUCCUUAGAUCCACUCCAUCCUACUUGGAUAACUGUGGUAAUUCUAGAGCUAAUACAUGCACUCGAGCCUCGACCGAGGCCCCGGCAACGGGGUCGCGGAAGAGGUGCUUUUAUUAGAUCAAAACCAGUCGGGGAAACGAUCGCCGGGUCAAACCGGUCGGUCGCGGAACCGUACCAAUUUUGGUGACUCUGGAUAACUUCACGCCGAUCGCACGGCCUUCGCGCCGGCGACGUAUCUUUCAAAUGUCUGCCUUAUCAACUGUCGAUGGUAGGUUACGCGCCUACCAUGGUUGCAACGGGUAACGGGGAAUCGGGGUUCGAUUCCGGAGAGGGAGCCUGAGAAACGGCUACCACAUCCAAGGAAGGCAGCAGGCGCGCAAAUUACCCACUCCCGGCACGGGGAGGUAGUGACGAAAAAUAACGAUACGGGACUCUUCCGAGGCCCCGUGAUUGGAAUGAGUACACUUUAAAUCCUUUAACGAGGAACCAUUGGAGGGC